rnacentral:misc_RNA from 1 species
GAUGAAGAACGUAGCGAAAUGCGAUAAGUAAUGUGAAUUGCAGAACUCAGUGAAUCAUCGAAUCUUUGAACGCACAUUGCGCCCGCCAGUAUUCUGGCGGGCAUGCCUGUUCGAGCGUCAUUUCAACCCUCAAGCCCCCGGGCUUGGUGUUGGGGAUCGGCGUGCCCUCGCGGCGCGCCGUCCCCUAAAUCUAGUGGCGGUCUCGCUGUAGCUUCCUCUGCGUAGUAGCAACACUCGCACUGGAUCGCAGCGCGGCCACGCCGUUAAACCCCCCACUUCUGAAAGUUUGACCUCGGAUCAGGUAGGAAUACCCGCUGAACUUAAGCAUAUCAAUAAGCGGAGGA